AAUAAUGGCUUCUUCACAAGCCGCUCUUCUCCUCCAAAAACAGCUCAAAGACCUAAACCGUCAUCCCGUCGACGGCUUUUCUGCCGGUUUAGUCGACGAGAACAACGUUUUUGAAUGGAGUAUCUCAAUCAUCGGUCCACCGGAAACUUUAUUCGACGGCGGAUUUUUCAACGCUACAAUGAGUUUUCCGACGGAUUACCCUAACAAUCCACCGACGGUGAAAUUCACAACGGAGAUCUGGCAUCCGAAUGUUUAUUCUGACGGUAGGGUUUGUAUAUCGAUUCUUCAUCCACCAGGUGAUGAUCCGAAUCAUUAUGAGCUAGCGAGUGAGCGGUGGACGCCGGUUCAUACGGUGGAGAGCAUUAUGCUGAGUAUAAUUUCGAUGCUUACCAGUCCGAACGAUGAAUCGCCGGCGAAUGUUGAUGCGGCUAAGGAAUGGAGGGAUAAUAGGGCGGAAUUUGUGAAGAAGGUGAAGAGAUGCGUGAGGAAAUCACAAGAGAUGUUGUGAGCAAAAACUAAACUUUACUUAACUUGCAAGGAAUCGUUUUGUUUUAGGACUAUUUUACUCUCUUUUUUUGGUAUCUAAAUUAACAAAAUUG
rnacentral:misc_RNA from 1 species